UGGGGGAUAUUGCACAAUGGGGGAAACCCUGAUGCAGCAACGCCGCGUGUGGGAAGAAGGUUUUCGGAUUGUAAACCACUGUUCUUAGCGAAGAAACAAAUGACGGUAACUAAGAAGAAAGCUCCGGCUAACUACGUGCCAGCAGCCGCGGUAAUACGUAGGGAGCGAGCGUUGUCCGGAUUUACUGGGUGUAAAGGGUGCGUAGGCGGGCCCGCAAGUCAGACGUGAAAGCCACAGGCUCAACCUGUGAAUUGCGUUUGAAACUGUGGGUCUUGAGUGAAGUAGAGGUAGGCGGAAUUCCCGGUGUAGCGGUGAAAUGCGUAGAGAUCGGGAGGAACACCAGUGGCGAAGGCGGCCUACUGGGCUUUAACUGACGCUGAGGCACGAAAGCGUGGGUAGCAAACA
rnacentral:rRNA from 1 species